AAGCAGCCAUGACAGUAACAAGGGAGACUCUACUGUGAGAGAGGCAGACAUUUCAUGAUGAUGUCACUUCUAGAUUUGGAGUGCUACAGCACCCUGUCCUAACUGUGUAGGAGGACGGAGAAGGAGCCUUGGAAUACAUCUCCAGAGGAUCCAGUUCUCAUUCCUAAAAUGAAAACAAAAACAAACACCUUGAGGAAUUUAAGACCUUUGGACAAAUAAACAUCCAAAGAAGGAGGAACAUUUACCAGAAAAACAUUUACCAAGAAAAGAAACAAUCUGUCUCCAAAAGAAGAUGGAAUCACAGCGGGACAGUGGUUGUGCAUGCCUUUAAUCCCAUCACUUUGGGAAGCAGAGGCAGGGAGAUCCCAAUAUGUCUGAGGCUAUCCUGGUCUACAAAGAUCCCCUAAGGAUGUCAUCGCCCCCAAACAGCAGGAAGUAACUUGAAGAACACAGCACCCACAUUCCCAAUAUGUUGGCUCUAGGACUACAAACCAGAGCUUCACCCUGAGAUGGAAAUAAAUCUGAGGCCUCUGUGCAGAGCAGGAUGGCACAGUGAAGACUUUUGUAAGUUGUGGAAAGGAAACCCAGGGCCUCACACA